AUUGAACGCUGGCGGCAGGCUUAACACAUGCAAGUCGAGCGGAGAUGAGGUGCUUGCACCUUAUCUUAGCGGCGGACGGGUGAGUAAUGCUUAGGAAUCUGCCUAUUAGUGGGGGACAACAUUCCGAAAGGAAUGCUAAUACCGCAUACGUCCUACGGGAGAAAGCAGGGGAUCUUCGGACCUUGCGCUAAUAGAUGAGCCUAAGUCGGAUUAGCCAGUUGGUGGGGUAAAGGCCUACCAAGGCGAGGAUCUGUAGCGGGUCUGAGAGGAUGAUCCGCCACACUGGGACUGAGACACGGCCCGGACUCCUACGGGAGGCAGCAGUGGGGAAUAUUGGACAAUGGGGGGAACCCUGAUCCAGCCAUGCCGCGUGUGUGAAGAAGGCCUUAUGGUUGUAAAGCACUUUAAGCGAGGAGGAGGCUACUGAGACUAAUACUCUUGGAUAGUGGACGUUACUCGCAGAGUAAGCACCGGCUAACUCUGUGCCAGCCGCCGCAGUAACAC
rnacentral:rRNA from 1 species